rnacentral:rRNA from 1 species
UACGUAGGGUGCAAGCGUUAAUCGGAAUUACUGGGCGUAAAGCGUGCGCAGGCGGUUAUGCAAGACAGAUGUGAAAUCCCCGGGCUCAACCUGGGAACUGCAUUUGUGACUGCAUGGCUGGAGUGCGGCAGAGGGGGAUGGAAUUCCGCGUGUAGCAGUGAAAUGCGUAGAUAUCCGGAGGAACACCAGUGGCGAAGGCGACUUCCUGGCCUGUUCUUGACGCUGAGGCGCGAAAGCUGGGGGAGCAAACGGG